AAACUACACUGCAGCACCAUUAACCGCAUUUAGCAAUGAAGUAAAUAAAGUAACCUGAUUAAUCGAUCUCUGAGAACAAAGUGAAAACUAAACCAUCCACUACAGUGAAAAAAUUGGAAGUGUAAAUACGGCGUCACCUCACCACUCAACCUGAGAUGCUACAAGAACUACUGCAUGUAAAGUGUGGAGCAACCUGGAGAAGAGUGAAGCAGAGACAUCCGAGUAACUUCUCCAUUACUCGGCAACCCCG